AUUAGGCUCAAUCUUGAAAGGCUAUUCGUGUUCUUUGAUUUGUUAGUUAAGCCUACUUUUAGGUCAGGGUGAUACGUACAUUUUGGGAACACGGUAGUGCAAUUGAGUGGGAGCGCUAGCAUAAACAUGGAAUCUAUAGCUUCUAUCUGGCAAAUAGUAAGCAAAGGAUGAUCUCCUUCGAGCUUGACCAAACGAACAUAAAUGGUGGAGUACUCAUUUCACAUAAGCUGAAAUAUCAUUUAUACGGGAUCAAGUGUUUUAAGGAUAAAAUACAUUGUAGGGUGUAACGGUAAUCUAAUCCCUUUACAGUGUAGAUCAUUCAUAUAGAGGAUCAGUGAUCACAUUAGGAUUAUAACAAUGGAUAACUAAUGAUGUGUCUAUAUGGUGGAACAUAUAGAGCAUUCUAUAUAACUGAGAGUGCAAUUCUAAGUUCUAUGCGUGGAUUCAACGAAGAAUUAAUAAGUUAGUGAAUUUUAGUGCUAAAUUCUUGAUCUACUUAUUGGAAGCUCGGUUAUAUAGACCCAUGGUCCCCACACUAGUUGAGAUAAUAUUGCUUGUAAGACUCAUAUAAUUGGUUUUGAUUAAUCAAUUAUAAUUCUCAAAUUAGACUAUGUUUAUUUGUGAAUUUUUCACUAAGUAAGGGCGAAAUUGUAAAGAAAGAGUUAUAGGGGCAUAUUUGUUAAUUAUGAUACUUUGUAUGGUUCAAUUAAUAAAUAUGAUAAAUGACAAUAUUAUUUAAUAAUUAUUUAUAGUUAUUAAAUAGUUAGAAUUGGCAUUUAAAUGGUUGAAUUAGAAAAUUGGCGUUUUUGAGAAAAUCAGAUGCAGAAAAGAUAAAACUGCAAAAUUGCAAAAAGUGAGGCCCAAAUCCACUUGUAUAGGGCUGUCCACUUUUGUAGGGAAUUUAAACUGAUAUUUUCAUUAUUUUAAUGCCAAAUAAUUCAAACCUAACCCUAGUGGAAUGCUAUAAAUAGAUAGUGAAGGCUUCAUGAAAUUUACACUUAAAUUUCUACACUUCUGAUUCAGAAAAAACUGAGCCUUCUCUCUCCCUAUCUUUGGCUGACCCUUCUCUUUCUCCUUCCCUCUUCAAUUUCGAAAAUCUUAGUGUGAGAGUAGUGUCCACACACAGCAAGUGAUACCUCAAUCAUCGUGAGGAAGAUCGUGAAGAAAGACUUUCAGCAAGAAGGAGUUUCAGCAUCAAAGAUUCAGAGAAAGAGAUCCAGGUUCAGAUAUUGAUAAUGCUCUGCUACAGAAAGGAAUCAAGGGCUAGAUAUCUGAAUGGAAGGAGUCAUUAUAUUCCGCUGCACCCAAUGUAAGGUUUCUUAAACUUUAUAUGUGUUUAUUUCAUCGUUUUAGAAAGUUCAUAUUUAGGGUGUUAAUAAACAUACUUGUGAGUAGAUCUAAGAUCCUGGUAAAAUAAUUUCCAACAUGAGGAACCUAUUGUACUUCGUCAAUACAUGGACGAAAUUGAAGGUUUAGAGACAAGUGAACAAGUUAUUCCAGGUGAUGGAUCAUGUAUUACUAUUAAUGAGAAUAUUGAAAAUGUCUCUGGAAGUGGAAGUGGGACAGAGAAAAUCAACUAAAAUCUCAAGGUGGUGAUCAUGGACCAUGGUUGCUUUGCUUGUUGGAUUGGACUCUAUUUUCUAUCUAUUGCUUUAAUGUAUUUCAUUUGUUUGGUUGUGGAAUAAUGUAUUUGAUGUGGACUUAUAUUUGAUUUGUGUUUUAGAUUUAGACUUUAGACUUUUAACUACAUAUUUUAAUUUAUAUGGUUGCACUUAUAAUAUGUAGAAUCAUGUGUUUACAAUUGGUUUUUGAACAAAUAA